CCUCAUCCACAUCAACUACACCAACUUGAAUACAGAGAGACAGGCUGAUGUCUAGAGAUUAGAGUCUGAGAAAGACAGAGCGAGCCGUGAGGGAGUGGUGGAGGCGCGUAGCCAUGGAGGAGCAAGGCGGCGCCAACUGAUUCCGGUGCGUCAACAACCCCAACCAACAAAACAACGACUGAGAGAGAGUUGUGAGGGAGUGGCGGCUGAACACCGCCCCCGGUGGCGGAGCGAUGGAGGAGCACGACAGCGCCACCUGAUUCCAGGGUGUCAACGACCCCAACCACGGAACAACGGUUGAGGGUUUCAGAGAGAGAAAGAGGCUGUGUACACGGUGGCCAUGUCGACGGUUAGCAUUCCGACCAGAUUUCGAUCUAAAGAGCAGUACCAGCAAGGAGAACCAGGUGAAGAUCCGGUGAGCAGAUUGAAGCCUGUACGAGAGCUCUUCAAGUGAAUCGGCAACACUCCAGGCCUACUCUACAUAUAAGAAACAGUGAAGCGGAGUAGGGCACAGUUGGAAUAGGGCUGGUUAUGUCAAAUUGGUGGCUACUUGUGAAAUUCCGGUUACACCCGUUUGGAACGCCAGUGUCCACAGGUCAGAGGUAAAGCAUGGUGAUUGGCUUGGUGAAGAUUUGAAGUUCUUGAGGUCUGUCUCGGUAAUGGUUGAUGAGAGUCAAGAAUAGGUCAAAUCGGUCAACAUAGAAACUCAGGUCAGAACCCAGUCAAACGAUGGAAGUUCCAGUGGCCACUUCUAUAUUUUGAUAUUUGGCUUUUUAACAUAGGUCACUUGAUAUGACAUUUUUGCUUUAUAAUAGAUUAUAUGCUCUACCCUUUGUACAUAUUCAGCUUCAUAUUAAGCACUAUCAGGUAUAAUGAUAUUGCUUUGUUUGGUCUUACGGUCACUGAAAAAGAUGGGCCAACUAAUGUAGCUCCUCCAUCUACCCAAAAGGAACCUUCUACUUACCUUGGGCUGUAGUAUUAUAUGUAAAUCGCGCAACGCUCGACUGGGGAAUGACCCUAGUUUGACUAAAGCAAAAACGUAUAAUACAAACUUUUGAUGAACAUUAGUUUAAUUUCUUUUUUUUUUAAUAUUGUUUUCCUGUAUUUUCAUUAUUUAAUUGUUUUAAUACAU
rnacentral:lncRNA from 1 species